GUCCACGCCGUAAACGUUGGGCACUAGGUGUGGGUCUCAACCAACGGGAUCUGUGCCGUAGCUAACGCAUUAAGUGCCCCGCCUGGGGAGUACGGCCGCAAGGCUAAAACUCAAAGGAAUUGACGGGGGCCCGCACAAGCGGCGGAGCAUGUUGCUUAAUUCGAGGCAACGCGAAGAACCUUACCUGGGUUUGACAUGUAGGGAAAAGCCGUAGAGAUACGGUGUCCUUCGGGGCCCUACACAGGUGGUGCAUGGCUGUCGU
rnacentral:rRNA from 1 species